CCGAGCAAUAUUCCUGCAACAAUCGUGCAGUUUUCUGCCCACCACCAACUUUAACCAGUGUUAUGAUGACCACCACGCAAUAAGCAGCAGCAGAAAUAACAACAACAGCAGCAGCAGCAGGAGAGGAACAGCAAACGGGUACAGUUGCAUUCUCCGACGGUGCAGCAGCUAUUCCACGUGUGAACGCAAUGGUGUAAUUUCUAAUCCGUGAAUAAGAAAUACUAAUGUGUUAUAAGAGGCACCAUUCGUUCUUCCUUCCAACGCAAAAUUCCAGAGUUUCACCGCAAUUAUCACGAGCAGUUCAUCUUUGAACUACUUUUAAGAGUUUUAGUUUUCUAGCGAGUGAUAAUUUGCAAUUAAUUCUGACGGGUUGCGCCUGCGCCCGAACACUCACGAUCGACCGCUUGGUAAGCGAACGCGUAACCAAGUGGCUACGAAGACCCCCCAAUAAAGGUCUUUACAUACGGUACACCUAAUUGCGCAGAGCGUAGAGAAACCGAUUCACAGUGGUGGUACUUUGCGAACCACCAGUGGUAUCGUGCUGGGAAUAACCGGCGAAGAUGGUGAUAGCUCGGCCGAUAAACACCCGCAUGAUCUGGUGAACGAUUUUAUGUGAUAAGUGUCAGCAAUACUUGCAAUGUAAUCUCAUAGUGCAUCGGCAGUGCUCGGCCACGGGACUAGAACCGUGCGCAGCGGAAACUGGCAGUAGGACGGUAACGUUGACUAGCCGUAGUCAUCAGGCCUUUGGACUUAGUCUUUGCUAGCAGUUUAGCGUGGCCGAGCUGUCGGCGCUGCAGAGCUCGAACAGAAAGCGAUGUGUAACUUGAACCUGGAUCUGUACAAGAUGUAUCGGACGACGUCACCGAAUUACGACGAGGUUAACAAACUGCGUGAUUCACUCAACGAAAAUCUAAUCAACACCGAUCCGAGCAGCUACUCACCGGAGUGUGUAGCCAUGGUUCUUACGGGUGCUGCCCAAUCCGAUCAUUUCGAUUAUGUUUUAUGAUAAAUUCGUCGUAAGUCACAAAAAUUACCAGUGAUGCGUAGCAAUUCGUUAUCCAGGAUCUGCCAAUUUACCACAACAUGACGCCAUCUGAUACGAAUAUGCCAAAUGUAGUACCAGCGGGAACUGGAAGAGGAACCAACAAUACUGAUACAAGUGUGGUGCCAUAUUCUAAUGCGUCCUCCUAGGGAGAAAAUUGUUCAAAUCGUGUAUUACACGGAAUACCACUUGCGAAUAAUGGAACUAUUGCUCUAUAAGCUGGACUGGAACGAAAAACUACCAGAAACUUCCGUCUGCUCCUGCGGUACCACCACGGAAAAUCUCCCGAAGUACGGCUGUGCUACAGCAGCAACAACAAAUACCCGGUUCAUCCACUGUUUUACCAACAGGAUAGGCUGCUCCAAAAAGCCUGCGAUCUCAUUCCCGGCAUCUGUGGUACAAGCGCCCUUGAUUGGGGUGUAUACUAAUGCCGGUAGGAAUAUUAGUAAUGGAACACUGGCUGCUGAAAAUCGGGGGAUAGCGUUGAUGAUGCAAACACACCAGCUGACCUGACGGAUCAAAUCUACCGAUUCCUUC